rnacentral:rRNA from 1 species
UACCAGCACCCCGAGUGGUCGGGACGAUUAUUGGGCCUAAAGCAUCCGUAGCCGGUUUUACAAGUCCUCCGUUAAAUCCAGCUGCUUAACAGAUGGGCUGCGGAGGAUACUAUAAGACUAGGAGGCAGGAGAGGCAAGCGGUACUCAGUGGGUAGGGGUAAAAUCCGUUGAUCCAUUGAAGACCACCAGUGGCGAAGGCGGCUUGCCAGAAUGCGCUCGACGGUGAGGGAUGAAAGCUUGGGGAGCAAACCGG